rnacentral:lncRNA from 1 species
AUCUGCAACAAAAUCAUUGAAGACCACCACACACCAUGAACAAGAAACUCUUCCUACACUUUUUGUAAUCGAAUGUCAUUCAGACUCUUUUGUAAUCGACAACCUUUAUCACUUAAUGAAUAUUAGCUUUUCCUCCUUAUAAAUUACUGUCUUUAUCUACCCUAUAAGCAUAUUAAUCACCUUCUACACUUAUCAAUGUUUGUAAUGACUUUCUGAUACCCUCUGCCUCCCGCGGAGCGGAGGUUAGGAAUCUAGUUAAAAUUAUUUAUAUAAAACAAGGGCAUAAUUUGAAACAUGUUUACAAAUUAAAAUCAAAAUUUAAUGAGUCAACUGUCUUAAUAUGAAAAAUAACAGAAAAAUAGGUUAUAACAAGGUGUCAUUAAGAUCAUUCUUUUUAUAUCCAACAAAGUAGAUGUUAUUAUGGUGCAUGUCAAUCAUAAGUAAUUGCAUAAUUUUAGAAAAAUAUAUAUAUAUUAACAGGUGACAAAAAUGUAAAAAUCGUCGUUGUAAUAUGUAUUUUUUUAGAAAAAAAAACGUCCAAACUCUUAAGGUUGUGGAUUGAUGGUCCUUUUGAAAAUCUUUCCUUGCUUAUUUAAUCUUUCAGAAAACUGAAAAUACCAAAUUAUCCAUAUGAUGUUUUUUUUGUUUAAUUUAAAAUUUUAUCAUAUAUAUAUUAACAGGUGACAAAAAUGUAAAAAUCGUCGUUGUAAUAUGUAUUUUUUUAGAAAAAAAAACGUCCAAACUCUUAAGGUUGUGGAUUGAUGGUCCUUUUGAAAAUCUUUCCUUGCUUAUUUAAUCUUUCAGAAAACUGAAAAUACCAAAUUAUCCAUAUGAUGUUUUUUUUGUUUAAUUUAAAAUUUUAUCAUAUUCAAAUCUCUCUCUCUCUCUCUCUCUCUCUCUCUCUCUCUCUCUCUCUCUAN